rnacentral:rRNA from 1 species
GCCUACGGGAGGCAGCAGUGGGGAAUAUUGGACAAUGGGCGCAAGCCUGAUCCAGCCAUGCCGCGUGAGUGAUGAAGGCCUUAGGGUUGUAAAGCUCUUUUAUCCGGGACGAUAAUGACGGUACCGGAGGAAUAAGCCCCGGCUAACUUCGUGCCAGCAGCCGCGGUC